GCCACGCUUGGCCCGCGUGGAUAGACUUCCCCCCAAAAAGCGGCCUUUCUUUACCAAGUCCUCUUACUCUUCGUUUUGUCGUCUAUGUAAAGGUGAAGUGUAAUAAAAAUGUCAGCGACAGACGACGAGUUUAUUGAUAAUCAAAGUGAGGAUCUGAACCCGGGAGGCAAACUGACAGAUCUCACUCGCCCCUCAGGAAAAGAUCAAAGAACUACAGGCAAGUCUCGCUCCACCUUCUACCUUCACACAACUGUUCUCAGUUCUCUAUGAUCUGGUCACCUGAAGAGCAUUUUAGAACUUCAGGAAUGUCUCUAUGUCACCACCUACUACGGACUGAACAUUUAUAGCCCCCUAAAAUCCAUAUGGUGGUACUAGGAUGUGGUGCCUUGGGGAGCUUGGAGGCCAUGAGGGUGAAGAACCCACAAUAACAUUCAUGUCUUUAUAAAAACAGAAGAGACACCAGCCUCAUCCGUGCCAUGUGCCAAUAAACUCCCAAGGCAGCCUUCUGCAAGGGGCAUCAAAAUAUGAUUUUACUCUAGGUAAAUCUCGAAAGUGCAAACUUAUCUAUUUUAUUCAAGUUCCUUCAGCUAUGUGUUUUCCUCAGCUCAUCAGACACAGUUUUAUCGAAAGUAGCACUUUUUCAGGGCCUGGGAACCGCUCUCUCCCCUCCCCAAUCAGGCCUAGGAAUCUCUCUCCACUGGUGCUAGAGGAUCACCAAGAACUGAAUCCACCAGCACCCUGCUCGUGGACUUCCCAACCACCAAAACGGAGGAGCCAUGCAAGUGCAUCCUGGGAGGUGAGUUCUGGGUCCUUUAGCAACGGAAGAAACCUGAGCUGUCACAGGAGCAUCAGAAACAGCACCUCUGCAGUCGGGUGAAUCCAAACUCAAGGCUCUUUUAGGAACCAGCACCCCGGAAUUCUCAGAGGUCAGGAGAAAAGUAGACCACCAGCCUGUCACCUGCAAGAUUCAGAGGAAUGUGUUCAAGCAAAAGUGAUGAGUUGUGCUUCUGUUACAUGUCAGAACGGUGCUGCCAAGAAAAGAAUGUGGGAAAAUGGCAAGGUGCAACUUCUUUGGAGGGCAAUUAGUCAGGAAUUAGGAAGUGAAGAAAUGCACGAAUAAUUCUAUCAGGCAAUUCCACCUCAAGGAAUCUAUUUUAAGGAAAGCCUUGCACAAAUGAAAAGGAUGUUUGUACAGGGAUGUCUUCUGAAGAAUUAUUAUUUUUACAUUUGAAAAGGACAGGCCUAUUAGGAAAAGGAGAAAGAAAAAGAGAGGCACCUGCAUCGUCACAGCAGGGCAGGAGAGCUGAAGAAUCAAACAAUAAACAUUAGAACCAAUGUCAUGUCCAUCAGCUGAGGGACGCUGACAUGUGCUCUGUGAAGGAUCUUAAAAGGAUGAGGAAAACAAUGCACAUGGUGGUGAGAGGCCACCGGAAGGCAGUGCUCCAACACUGGAUGAGCCUCUCUCCUUCAGAUUCAGAUUAACCCAUGAGGGAAGCACAAAUGUUUGUCUCUUUUUAUAGAUGUAGAAAGGGAGGCACAGAAAGUUCAGUAACUUCUUCAAAGUCACGUCGUGGAAGAACCAAAACCUCCACCAGGCACCCGAGGCUUCACACAAACGAAGACCGAGGUUUUCUUGCUUCUCAGUCUCGAUAUGUCGAGGUCUCCAGGCGCGUGCAAAACCUCAGGCGCCACAAGUGAAGGGAUUUGCGCGGGGCUUGGGGAUGAGUUCCAAAGCCCCCCGGAGCCAGACACCGCCCAACAAGCGCGGGUUCUAUUGGGAAAACAAACAAACACACACACAAAAAGCUUUGCCGAAAAAUGUCUUCUUUCGGGCACUUUCAUGGAACCUGGGUUUCCUGGCAGCGCGUCCUGGAGUGUGACCCGCAGCAGACGGUCGGGAGGGCCCUGAGGACGCGGCGCUAACAACAGCGCGCGAGGACGGGCGCCAAAACGCAGC